rnacentral:rRNA from 1 species
GAUACCCUAUUAUUAAGAAUGUAAUUUUUGGCUUAAGUUAUUAUUAGUUAAGAUCUUUAAAAUUAAAGAAUUUGGCGGUAUUUUAGUCUGUUCAGAGGAACCUGUUUUUUAAUCGAUAAUCCACGAUAAUUAUUACUUUUGCUUUAAAUUUACAUAUCGUCGUUAACAAGAAUUUUUGGAGGAUAGAUAAUUCUUGAGAUUUAAUAUUUUAGUAUAGUUCAGAUCAAGGUGUAGUUUAUGUUGAAGUUAAAAUGGGUUACAUUAUAUUUAUAUGUAGUUUUUAGUUUUAAAAGCUUUAAUAAAAUGGAUUUGUAAGUAAAUUUUUAUUUUUAUGAAAUUUGAUUAAGCUCUAAAAUAUGCACACAUCGCC